rnacentral:sRNA from 1 species
UUAAUAGCCCUGGAGACUGAAGCCCUGCAUUUAUUCAUAGCACAGGUACAACACAAGAAACCAAUGUCUAAGCCUUCCCACUCAUCUCUACAAAUGUGAUCUAGUGGGAACAAAUAAUCUCUCUGUCCGAGAGCAUAUUCUUCAUUCCCAUUCAGUACUUUGCCCCU